UACGUAGGGGGCAAGCGUUGUCCGGAUUUAUUGGGCGUAAAGAGCGUGUAGGCGGCCAAGCAGGUCUGCUGUGAAAACUCGAGGCUCAACCUCGAGACGUCGGUGGAAACCGUUUGGCUAGAGUCCGGAAGAGGAGAGUGGAAUUCCCGGUGUAGCGGUGAAAUGCGUAGAGACCCGGAGGAACACCAGUGGCGAAGGCGGCUUCCUGGUCUGCGACUGACGCUGUGGCGCGAAAGCUAGGGGAGCAAACGGG
rnacentral:rRNA from 1 species